GGGUGGCCGGUACCCUACGCUGCCGAUUUACAUAAUAUAAAUUGUAAAUGCUGCAGUAGUAGGGAUCUGGACGCGC
rfam:Human herpesvirus 4 complete wild type genome